AAAAUACAACUUUCAGCAACGGAUCUCUUGGCUCUCGCAUCGAUGAAGAACGCAGCGAAAUGCGAUAAGUAAUGUGAAUUGCAGAGUUCAGUGAAUCAUCGAAUCUUUGAACGCACCUUGCGCUCCUUGGUAUUCCGAGGAGCAUGCCUGUUUGAGUGUUAUUA
rnacentral:rRNA from 1 species